GACGUAGGGCGCGAGCGUUGUCCGGAUUUAUUGGGCGUAAAGAGCUCGUAGGCGGCUUGUUGCGUCGACCGUGAAAACCCGCGGCUCAACUGCGGGCUUGCGGUUGAUACGGGCAGGCUGGAGUUCGGUAGGGGAGACUGGAAUUCCUGGUGUAGCGGUGAAAUGCGCAGAUAUCAGGAGGAACACCGGUGGCGAAGGCGGGUCUCUGGGCCGGUACUGACGCUGAGACGCGAAAGCGUGGGGAGCGAACAGG
rnacentral:rRNA from 1 species